AGAGUUUGAUUCUGGCUCAGAACGAACGCUGGCAGCGUGGAUUAGGCAAGCAAGUCGAGCGAGAAUUCACAGCCUCAAGUUUUCGGACAAGAGGCCGUGGAGGAAAGCGGCGGAAGGGUGAGUAACGCGUAGGCAAUCUGCCUUCAAGUUGGGGAUAACCCGGCGAAAGCUGGACUAAUACCGAAUGUGACCGGUCUGGGGCAUCCCGGGCCGUUUAAAGAUGGGGAUCCUUCGGGACCUGUCGCUUGUUGAGGAGCCUGCGUCCUAUCAGCUCGUUGGUGAGGUAAUGGCUCACCAAGGCUUACGGGUAGCUGGUCUGAGAGGAUGGUCAGCCACACUGGGACUGAGAUACUGCCCAGACUCCUACGGGAGGCUGCAGUCGAGGAUCAUUCGCAAUGCGCGAAAGCGUGACGAUGCGACGCUGCGUGGAGGAUGAAGGCCUUCGGGUCGUAAACUCCUGUCAUUCGGGAACAAUGGUCGCCGGGGGAAUAUCCCGGUGACGUGAUAGUACCGAAAGAGGAAGCCACGGCUAGCUCUGUGCCAGCAGCCGCGGUAAUACAGAGGUGGCGAGCGUUGUUCGGAUUUACUGGGCGUAAAGGGUGCGUAGGCGGUUCCGUGUGUCGGAUGUGAAAUCUCACUGCUCAACGGUGAAACUGCAUUCGAAACUGCGGAACUAGAGUACAGGAGAGGAGAGCGGAAUUCUUGGUGUAGCGGUGAAAUGCGUUGAUAUCAAGAGGAACACCGGUGGCGAAGGCGGCUCUCUGGAAUGAUACUGACGCUGAGGCACGAAAGCUGGGGGAGCAAACAGGAUUAGAUACCCUGGUAGUCCCAGCCCUAAACGGUGUACACUUGGUGUGGGGCGGUGUUGAACCCCGUCCCGUGCCGUAGCUAACGCGAUAAGUGUACCGCCUGGGGAGUACGGCCGCAAGGCUAAAACUCAAAGAAAUUGACGGGGGCCCGCACAAGCGGAGGAGCAUGUGGCUUAAUUCGAUGCAACGCGAAGAACCUUACCAGGGCUUGACAUGCAGAGUUCAAUGCGUGAAAGCGCAUGGCCGCAAGGCGAUCUGCACAGGUGCUGCAUGGCUGUCGUCAGUUCGUGCCGUGAGGUGUUGGGUUAAGUCCCGCAACGAACGCAACCCUUGUGCUCUGUUGCCAGCCCCGUAGCAAUGCGGGGGGCACUCUGAGCAGACUGCCCGUGACAAGCGGGAGGAAGGUGGGGAUGACGUCAAGUCAGUAUGGCCCUUACGCCCUGGGCUGCACACGUGCUACAAUGACCGGUACAGUGCGAUGCAAUACCGCGAGGUGGAGCAAAUCACCAAAGCCGGCCUCAGUUCGGAUUGGAGUCUGAAACUCGACUCCAUGAAGUCGGAUUCGCUAGUAAUGGCGCAUCAGCUACGGCGCCGUGAAUACGUUCCCGGGCCUUGUACACACCGCCCGUCACAUCAUGGGAGUCGUCUGCACCCGUAGUCGCUGAUCCAACCCGCAAGGGAGGAAGGCGCCGAAGGUGUGGGUGAUGACUGGGAUGAAGUCGAAACAAGGUA
rnacentral:rRNA from 1 species